UGCGUUAACGGUUUGCAGACA
rnacentral:piRNA from 1 species